GACCUGGUGGUGAAUGGUUCACACCCACCCUGCUUUCACAGUUGCACAUGUAAUAUGUACAUAAGGUGGGGAAACCCGGUUCGAUUCCGGGCCAGGUCA